rnacentral:rRNA from 1 species
AUGACAAGCACUUUGAAAAGAGGGUGAAAAGAGCCUGAAACCGUCACGGGGGAAGCGGAUCGCGUUGGAUUGAUGGGCGCUUGCGUGUUCAGCCUUCGGGUGCAUUGGCGCAAGUUGCUUAUCCGCUGUGGGUUUUCGGGAGCCGAUUUUGGGCUCCUGGGGACUGAGGGCUCCCUUUUACAGGUUGAGGACAGCGGAGUGACGACGCGAUACGACCCGUCUUGAAACACGGACCAAGGAGUCUAGCGCGGGUGCGAGUCGGAGGGUGCAAGCCCGUGGGCGAAGUGAAAGCGAGUGUAAAAACGAGCAGUUUGGGGCGGCAUAAGAUCGUUGAUCUUAAGACCGACCCAGAGCAGUUGCGCUGGGACCCGAAAGAUGGUGAACUAUGCCGGAGUAGGGCAAAGCCAGAGGAAACUCUGGUGGAGGCUCGUAGCGGUGCUGACGUGCAAAUCGCUCGUCGAACUUGGGUAUAGGGGCGAAAGACUAAUCGAACCAUCUAGUAGCUGGUUCCCCUCCGAAGUUUCUCUCAGGAUAGCGGCCGAUUGACGUUGUUUUGUGC